rnacentral:lncRNA from 1 species
CACAUCUGAAACAUGCAUUGGUCCCAAAUCGACACCUUCCCUUGUGUGGCUUCCCACACCUUUGGCAUUCCGCGCCGUCUGAGCCUGAACUCAAACCACCGCCAAAUCCCAGACCGGAUUUCAGCUUAUUCCAGAACUUGUUCUUUUUGGGCUUCUUGGUGUUACUCCAUCUCUUACUACCUGAACUCUGAGUAGAGGGUCCUGGCCCUCCUCUGCCUGGGGUCUUAGCCCCUGAAGACUGGGUCACCGACUGCUUCAC